CUCUAAUAUUAAGUCAGAUUAUAUAUUUUAUGGAAUAUAUACAGUAUAGGUAUUAGAUAUUAAAGGAAGUCUAUUCCUUCUUAAAAGUAACUUUAAGUAAAUAUGAAUUAUAAAAGUAUAUGUAUUAGUAAAUUGAAAAAUUGAAUAUAUGUAUACUUU
ncrna:unclassified sequences RT-14 RNA